CAAUAGCGUAUAUUUAAGUUGUUGCAGUUAAAAAGCUCGUAGUUGGAUUUCGGAUGGGAUUUGCCGGUCCGUCGUUACGAUGUGCACUGGCCAGUCCUAUAUUGUUGUCGGGGACUAGCUCCUUGGAUUCACUUCCUGGGACUAGGAGCUGACGAGGUUACUUUGAGUAAAUUAGAGUGUUCAAAGCAAGCCUACGCUCUGAAUACAUUAGCAUGGAAUAACACGAUAGGACUCUGGCUUAUCUUGUUGGUCUGUGAGACCAGAGUAAUGAUUAAGAGGGACAGUCGGGGACAUUCGUAUUUCAUUGUCAGAGGUGAAAUUCUUGGAUUUAUGAAAGACGAACUUCUGCGAAAGCAUUUGUCAAGGAUGUUUUCAUUAA
rnacentral:rRNA from 1 species